AGAAAAUGAUGUGUAAUGGGUGACUACAAGAGGGGGAAGGUAAAGGAAACUGCCCAAUCAUCAUGAGUAAGUUCUAUAGAUGAGGAUGGAACAGACAAGAAUGAGAGGCGACAAUCAAGGUAGAGAUAGAAACUGAGAGAAGCUUUGUCAUUGAAAUUUCUGGAGCUGAAAACACAAGACUUCCCUUUAAUUACAUCCUAUUUUUGACUAAGCGGUGAAGCCCACAACCAGUUCAGACUGGGCCUGAAGUUUUUGCUGUAUCAACAGUGAUAUUCAGAAAACAAGGUAUUUUGGAAUGUUGGCACACAGAUUGCUUGGUUCGCCAAACCCUGGGUUCUGUUCUACGGUUUGAUGGCCAACAUUUCCAUUCGCUCACCAGGAAGCUAUCCACCUCUGUCUGUACAGCAAGAGAGAUCUGAAGAUUCACAUCCCCUGAAGAGAGAGAAAAAAAUCAGUUGGUGCUUAAAAUGAGUGAUACUUUAUUUUAUAAAAGUAUAGUUCUGGCUGUCAACUUCAAUCAAUGUUAUUCGGUUCGUACAUCAUAUUAAAAUGAAACCAUUGCUAAUUUU